CCUACGGGGGGCAGCAGUGGGGAAUAUUGCACAAUGGGGGAAACCCUGAUGCAGCGACGCCGCGUGAGUGAAGAAGUAUUUCGGUACGUAAAGCUCUAUCAGCAGGGAAGAAAAAAAGUCCUUUGGACUUUGGACGGUACCUGACUAAGAAGCCCCGGCUAACUACGUGCCAGCAGCCGCGGUAAUACGUCGGGGGCAAGCGUUAUCCGGAUUUACUGGGGGUAAAGGGGGCGUAGACGGAAGCGCAAUUCUGAAGUGAAAUGCCGGGGCCCAACCCCGGAACUGCUGUGGACACUGUGCAGCUGGAGUGCAUGAGAGGUAAGCGGAAUUCCUAGUGUAGCGGUGAAAUGCGUAGAUAUUAGGAGGAACACCAGUGGCGAAGGCGGCGUACUGGACUGUAACUGACGUUGAGGCACGAAAGCGUGGGGAGCAAACAGGAUUAGAUACCCCUGUAGUC
rnacentral:rRNA from 1 species